GAAAGUGUUCUUUCUGAAGAACAGCAUUCUGGGUAUGAAGAUGUUGAUGAGCUUCUUUCAGCAAAAUCUGCAGAAGGAGUCAAACCUGAAUACCAUAAUGAUUUCUCUGCCACUAAAGGCCCAACAGAAGAGCAACAAAUCACACCAGAGAACUAUGAUGAUGUAAUCACUGUUGGACUGAGACAUUAUGCUACAGAUGACUUACCAGAAAACUAUGAUGAUGUUGUCAUCAUACGACACUUCUCCAAUGAUAAAGCAGGUGUGGGUUUCUGUUUACACCCUUCUAGAUUGGAACAGUUUUUUUGUUUUUAUUUUCUAUGUAUAUUUUGUAUGUAGUCCAGUGGUGUCUAAACCUGCUCCUGGAGAGCCAGUGUCCUGUAGAGUUUAACCUGUCCCAACACACCUGUCUGGAAGUUUGUAGUAAUGCUAGCUGCCUUCACACCUUAAUUACCAUAAUUCUGAGAUGACAACAUUCUACUCAGAGCUGAAUUAUAUGUUUUUAUGGCAACACUAUCAUCGCCAAAGCCUUCACAUGCUCCAAAACUUGUAAUUACAACUUGUAAGCUCAGAAUAUUCUGAGUUAUGACAUGUACCAUGUGAUAGCUGUACCACCUGACUGCCGGCUAACUCAUGUAGGCGCUAUUUAGGCGCUGCCUCUGAGUCCGAGAACAUGGGCAGCUCCGAGUAGAAUGUCAUAUAUCAUCAUAUUUUAAUUAAGGGUAUUACGACAUGGUGUGAAGGCAGCAUCUGAAGACCU